rnacentral:rRNA from 1 species
UACGUAGGGGGCAAGCGUUGUCCGGAAUUAUUGGGCGUAAAGAGCGCGUAGGCGGUCCGAUAAGUCGGCUGUGAAAGUCAAGGGCUCAACCCUUGAAAGCCGGCCGAUACUGUCGGACUAGAGUCCGGAAGAGGCGAGUGGAAUUCCCCGGUGUAGCGGUGAAAUGCGCAGAUAUCGGGAGGAACACCAAUGGCGAAGGCAGCUCGCUGGGACGGUACUGACGCUGAGGCGCGAAAGCGUGGGGAGCAAACAGG